GUGAUACUACAAUAACCGUUCACUAAUUAUGAGUUGAUCAUGAAGUAAGUAUGCUCAUUAGUUUCGUAUCGUGAUUUGUAAUCCAUCCAUACAAAAGGUUUUGUAAAUAGAUUUUAUUUAGUACUCUGAAAUAGGAAGAUUUCCUUUCAUCCGUAACCAUCGGAUACUACAAUAACCGUUCACUAAUUAUGAGUUGAUCAUGAAGUAAGUAUGCUCAUUAGUUUCGUCUCGUGAUUUGUAAUCCAUCCAUACAAAAAGUUUUGUAAAUAGAUUUUAUUUAGUACUCUGAAAUAGGAAGAUUUCCUUUCAUCCGUAACCAUCGGAUACUACAAUAACCGUUCACUAAUUAUGAGUUGAUCAUGAAGUAAGUAUGCUCAUUAGUUUCGUCUCGUGAUUUGUAAUCCAUCCAUACAAAAAGUUUUGUAAAUAGAUUUUAUUUAGUACUCUGAAAUAGGAAGAUUUCCUUUCAUCCGUAACCAUCGGAUACUACAAUAACCGUUCACUAAUUAUGAGUUGAUCAUGAAGUAAGUAUGCUCAUUAGUUUCGUCUCGUGAUUUGUAAUCCAUCCAUACAAAAAGUUUUGUAAAUAGAUUUUAUUUAGUA